CUCUAGAAACACAGAAAUAGUAAAAUUAAUUGAAAAUCAAUGAUUAAUGUUAAGUUACAACCAGCUAACUUGGCUCAGUGUAACUAAGUCAAGAACACACAAUAGAAUUACGACAAUCGGCAUUUAUGGGAAUGAACGCAUCACUGUUUUAAAUGAAGACUAUUCUUCCAUUAGCUCAAAGUAGCUUGUAAAAUCUUUCACUAUGACUAAAACCUGGAGUAAUGUUGGAUAUCAUUCACCGUGAUGCUUAUUUAUGGCAUUAGCAUUUUAAGGUUUUUGUGAAGUAAAGCAGUAGGGAUCAAGUGGGCUCCCUCGCAUCUGCUAAGCCUCUGAAAGACAGCAUGUGCCUGCUCUGGAAUUCAAUUAGGAAUUAAAUAUUGAAUUGAGAAUACACAUGUAAGGAGUUAAGGAGAUCUGAAUGUUGAGCUCACAGGCACAGACAAGCCACGGCCACCCUCUACCCCCACGGCUCUGCCAGCAUCCCGGGUGGCAUCCUGGCGCCUCUGCCCAUGCAGGUGGCUGGAGAAACCCCAGGGAGUGGGGAAGAAGAAACAAAAGGUGCUCUCAGGAGAGAGAUGCCCCAAGCCUGCUUUGUAUUGUUCCAUGAGGAAAGUAAAUCACGCACCAUUUCAUUACCGCAAACCGAAAGAUGGGCUGGUGGAGACGCAGUUUAUACAAGACUCCACAACUCAAAGGCUGAAAAGAUACGUCGAGUUUAAGACCGACUAUGUGUCUCUUCUGGAAGGGCAAAUCCUUUACUCUCUAAAGGGAAGAUGCAAAGAGGAUUAUGAUGGCAGCAUCCUUCCUCAGGAUAGUUUUGCUUUUGUUUUUCUGGCAAGAGAGAUCUUUUCUAAUAAAGAACUGCUCUUUCUUAUGAGCUAACCUUUGUCAGUGACCACAGGACUGCAGAGGCGCAAAAUAGAUUCUAUCUGCCCAAAACAGCUCACAGACAGUGACUAUCAUUUUGUUUUAUUUACUGGGUAAAAGGAGGAAAAUGGCUUUUAAAUUAGAUGUUGAACCCCUUCCAGAAUUGCAAUAUAAGAUACUGAAUCAAUCAUUCUUCACACAGUUGCCUCCUACUCUGCAAGCUCCUACUACCAUAAAAAUUGGCUGUUGCCGACUGAGCUGAGUGAAUAAUUUGCAAUUGCAUAUCUGUAAAAAGAAUUUUUCCUCUUCCCCUUUUCAUUAUUUGUCCAUGCAGGCUGAUUUUUCUCAAAUUCAUUUUUUUCAAAAACGUGCUGUAAUCACUCGUCAAGUAAUUCUUGCUGCAAGUCAUUUGCGAGCAAUUUGUUGUGAGAAGUCUUCAAACAUUUGUCCUGCUUCCGUUCGCUCUAUAUGAACAUGUGGUGUCGGUUUCUGGGAACACAACAUCAAAAAAGCAGGUUUUGACCCAUGAGAACAAUCCCACUUCUGAACCUAGAAAGCUCACAUAGAAAGCACAUUUUAUUGACAAUUAUUUAAGACUUAGGCAUGCGUAUCACUGAGAUGCUUGCAGUUUACAGGCUUCUGUAAUUUCCACGCUAACUAGAAGACAGCUUUUCUAGCCCUAAAGAGAACAUUAUUUUACCCACUUCACAACCCUAAUCUGCUCCUCACCAGAGCUUUUGUCUCAUCCCAAUUCAUUACAAUUUCUGUCUCGCAAAACAUCCCUUGUGAGAGACGAGGCUUUCAACAGCAUCUAAAGUGGUUGGGUUCCAAAUUACAACUGAAAUGAUGCACAAUUUCACCAUUAAAAAUGACUAAAUUCCCAGAAAUAAUUACAGGAUUCUUCUGGUUAUUGUUGCACCUUAAUGAAAAAUAAAACUGUAACAAAACACUGGCUGAAGUGUCUGAUCCCAAGCCUUUCUCAAUGUUCUAGAAGGAGGAUACUGCCCUUCCCAGAUGGUAAAAUACCAUCUUUUCAGAAAAAAAGGUUUUAAAGGAAUGGUUACGCUGCUCAGAGGGAUCUGGGUACUUCUUAAAAAGAAAAGUGGUAUAAUGACCCUGCAAUAUCGAAAAGGAAGAAAAAGUUAACUCGAACACCGAGUGCCAUUGCACACCACAGUUAGAAUUUCAAAUCCAAGUCUUGCAGUUGGCCUUAAACGUUUGCCUUGAAAACGCCUGUAAAUUACAGGUCUUGGCUCUUGUUGGUAUGCAGUGGAAAUUCUUUGCUGGUAGUUUAGAUAAUGUAAACAGUUGCUGCAACAGUCACCCCGGCAUUUUAUGAUGUUAAGCAGGAAAAAUGGAAAUUAAGAAGUCAGGAAAUACAUGGCCGAUGAUGUCCGUGACUGUAAUCGGGACAUGUAUGGGCGUCUCUUCCAUUGUGCAUUACAAUGGGUCCAUUCUGUGAAAACCUUGAAAAACAGUAAAAAAAUCUGCCUAGAGAUACUGAAGAACGCAAGUCAUAAACCAAGUAACAUUUUUUUCAAAUAUGAAUUUUGCAAAAGGAAGUUCUAUUUUGCUCUCAAACAGACUUCUUCUGAAAUUGUUUUUAUAUUUGUCUGUGCAGAAAAGAAAUUUGUCGCUGCACCAUAUCAAUGCUCUUAAGUUGUAUCAUCUGAGAUGGACUGUAAUUUCAACUCUUGGUGCUCAUAAGUAACUCUCAGGAUAACUUAGUCUGCUUCUUUUAGUCUGCCACAGAAAGAAGCUGUUGAUGCUCGAGGUUGUGGAGUCUCCUUCUCUGAGACAUUCAAACCCGCCUGGACACAACCCUGUGUGAUCUGCUCUGUGACCCUGCGUUAGCAAGGGUUGGGCUGGGGGAUCUACAGAUGUCCCUCCCAACCCCAGCCAGGCUGGGAUUCUGCGAUGUUAAGCAUCAAAGACCCCUGACCUAAACUUUCAACCAACCACUUUUGGCUUGUCUACCAACCCAGGUGCCGAAUCCAGCGCAGGGAUGGGCGAGCCACGUGCUCCAGGGAAGCUCCCGCCGGGAGCCGCAGCCGCCUUCCCACCGCCAGCUGAUCCCAACCGCGAGCACACUGGCUGUAACACUGAGUGGAAUCACCGCGAGACAUUCAAAUGAGCCUGGAGCCUGAAGAAAUGUUUGUAGGUUCUCCUAGAAAGCAGACAUCUUCCUAAGACAAAGUGAAUGCAAAUCAUUUUUCUUCACUCCUAGGACCUGAUCUUGUUCUUCCUGAAAUCUGCAGUGAGAUUCAGCUGUCUGCAGUGGUACCAGAUUUCUGAAAACAAAUCAGGAAUAUAUCUUUGUGGAAAUGUGAUGUUUCGUGGAGACAGAUCUGUUACGAUGUUAAACUCUGAAAAAGUUGAGGACUGUGAGAGACAGCGUCACCCACCUGUCCCAGGAGGGACCUGCAGGAACUUGGGAUCUGGCCAGCAGAAAGCCCACCACGCUUAACAAGAUGUCCAAAGUCCCACAGUCAGAAUAUCACCAUGUGCCAGGACAGGCUGGGGACGGUCUGGCUGAGGAGCAGCUGUCCUGGAUGGGACGUGGAGCUUACAGUGGGUGUCAGAUCGAAUGUAAGCCAAGGGUGUGCUCAUGGUAAGUGAGGCCUGCUUUUGAAGGAGGGUGGCUAGCAGAUUUAGGAAAUUCAUUAUCCCUGUCUCCUCAAGAGAUAUAACGUGCCACCUGAUGAGCCUUGGGGCACACUGGGGCCUUCAGGUCAAGAGGACAUUCAGAAAUGGGACAGGAAGGUAGCAGAGGGCGAUGGGGAUGGUCAGGUUCACAGAGCACACGCUUCAAGUGAUUAAGGAGGCCGUGGUUUUCAGUCUGGUGCAGAGGAGGCGGAGGGGGAUCUAAUGGCGGGCUGCAACCGCCUGAACUGCAGUUGGAGGGCCCCUAGCAGCGCAUACAGACUGGGGAUGAGAUGCUGGAGAGCAGCUCUGCAGAGAGGGAUCUGGGGGUUCUGGUUGACAAGUUGAACAUGAGCCACCAGUGUCCCUGGAGCCAAGAGGGACCCGUGUCCCGGUGCAUCCAGCACAGCACGGCCAGCCGGGCAGGGAGGGGAUUGUCCCGCUCUGCUCGGGCCUCACCUGGAGCAUUCACUGUGUGCAGGGCUGGGGACACGGGAGAAAAGGAGAUAAAGCUACUGCAGAGUGUCCAGAGGAGGCCAUGAAGUUGGUGAAGGUUUGGAGGGGAAGCCGUGUGAGGAGCAGCUACAGUCCCUGGGUUUGUUCAGCUGGAGCAGAGCAGACUGAGGGCAGAGCUCAUGGGCUGCAGGUUCCUCAGCAGGAGCAGGAGGGGCAGGCUGAGCUCUUCUCUUCUCUGUGACAGUGACAGAGCCCAGGGAAUGGCAGGAGCAUGUGCCAGGGGAGGGUCCAAGCAGUUGGACUUGAUGAUCCUUGUGGGUCCCUUCCCACUCAGGACAUUCCAUGAUUCUUUGGAAAGAAGACAGGGCCAAGCUCUUUUGGGUAGUGACAGAUGGUGUAGUAAAUGGCAAUGGCCACAGGUUGUAGCUUGGGGGCUUCAGGCUGGACAUGAGGAAGAACUGCUUGACCGGGAGGGCACUGCAGUAUUGGAAGAGGUUACUCAGAGAGGGACAGCUGGGACUUGGCCAGGGAAAGUGGCAGCAGACCUGACCCAGUGUCAGUGAUGGUCCUGCUUUGAGUGGAACGGGGGAGCUGAUCCAGGGGUCCCUUCACACCAAUAUUUCUAGGAUGGAACUCAGACUCAAGCUAGUGGCAUUAUUGAAAUCUUACCUAAAUGACAUUAAAUACAACUAAAUCAAAAGUUCACUCACUAAUAAAUAGGAAGCCAACCCCAGCUGGCUUGUUUUCUCAUGGCAAACUCUUCGCCAUGAGGGCACGCUACUGCAGCGGGCGGCACGUUCAUACUGCCUUCCCCUCCUGACAUCCCAUCAGCAAACAGGGUGUUUCUGUGAUGCCCCUUUAACGGGCAAGGACAGACUCUUGGAACCAAUGGUUUUGUGGCAGAUGGAGCAACAUUUGUAACUGGGAAAAAAAACCACUCUCAAGCUGCCAAAAUAUUAACAAGGGGCUUCCUCAAAAAUAUUCUGCCACAGUCAUUGAUACAUGUAAAUUCCCCAUGUAAAUAUGACUUCUUCCAAGGAAAAAGGUAUUGUUCAGCAGGAUUUCUGGGGAUGUGAACCAUUCUGCACCAUUUUUUUCUCUCUUGCCAAACCCUCUGCUUUCAGUCACAAGUUUUCAGCGCUGCGAGCCCUCAGGGAUGCUGCUGGAGGUACCUGCGAUUGGAGCAGCCCAGCGGGGCUGGGUUGGGGCAGGAUGUCCCAGCACCCCCGCGGCUGGGCUGGCAGCAAGGGCGCAUUGGGAAAUCAAACAGGGAAUGGGCUCUUUCGGGGUUUUCUGCAUCAUGUAUCUCCCUGUGAACGCCCGCGUUCCUUACAUGGCGAGAAACACAACAAGAAUUUCCAGACCUUCCUUUAUACCACCCACUAUUUUGCAUAGCUUUAUAAUGUCUUUUAUUAAUUUCCUUUUAAAGAUAAACUCUCCUAUUCCUUUCAAAUUCUGUAUAUAUUGAACAUCAAAGCAUUUACAUGAAUUUUUCAUUCCAUUAUAUGCCAGGCCUCUGGUGCUGGAGUCAGACAUGUUGCAGUAGAGCUGCAAGCAGAAGAGAUGUCCAGCUUCUCUGACACUGCUGCAGUUCUCACUGCUCCAAGUACUGAUCACUGGGGAAACUGCUCCUCAAAUACCAAAAACCUUUCUGUGAUGACCUGCUGCUUUGAAGAGGGAAGUGCGACCAACGUGCUUUUUUCUUAACAAUAAAGAGAAAAGACAGCAAUUGUCCCUCUACUGAGAGGGAUCUGAGAUUUAUUUUUGACUUCAAACUUUUCUACGCACUGUGAAAAAAGAUGAACAAUUCUAUUUUCAGUUCAGAGGAGACUACAAGAGAGAGAAAUGGUCUGGUAUAUGUUAGAUUAUUGAUUCUACCCCAAGAACAGAGGCUGUCACAGUGUAGUGUCCCACGUCAAAGCAAAUCUUUUCCCCAAUGCUGUCAGCUGGGCCCAGUUCUGCACCAAAUAUAUUUUCAAGAAAUUUGGCGCUAAACUGAGAGUUCUCCACCAUGAUGCUUCUGGGAAUUUAAUUACUCUCCCUCUGUUGGUACUGGGAUUAAGAAGUCGUAAAGGCAGUCUGCAUCACAGUGAUAUUAUAGCCAUUGCUCUGAAAUGGAAAAAUAUCACGCAUCUGUGUUUUCAUUCUCCAGACAUACCUUUGGGAAGCCAGUUUCUGAUGACAUGUUCAGGCAAGUGAUGCCUUAUCUGCAUGCUUUUUUCAUGUAUCAUCCUGAUCCGGUAACUUGAAUGCCAUAACCAGAAAGCUAUGUUAAUUGUGCAUGUUUUUAAGUCAGUGUAGUUCAAAACAUAUUUCUUAAAACUAUCGCCCCCCCAAAGUCUGCUGGCUUGUUUGAGAAGCCAGAGAUGUUCCGCCCCUGUUAGAGGAAUCACAUAAAUUUUUUGUAACAAGAAGAAUCUCCAAUCAAGAUAACCUUAGCCUCAUGGAUAUUAGAUAUUUCUGUUUCCUAAAAAUAAAACCCACUAAGUAUAUGAACUGGUACUGUAAACACAAGUGCAAGUGAAAGAGUUCUACUGUUGCUGGGCUCCUCCUCCCACGCAAUUCAGCAGCUAGCAAAAACACUUAUUCAGGAUUAAGUUACAGUAAAGAAUUGUUGACCCUGGUUUAGCUGAGAGCAAAUAUAAAGCCAAGUCAAUGGGGUUUGCUUCGGCUUGUGACAUUUCAGAUAAAUCCUCCUAAUUUGUUUGGAUCAUAAAAAUGAAAGCAGAAAACAGAAAACAUUUGUUAAAAACAAAAAUGCAGAGUGUCUACACAACCUUCUUCAUAAAGUAAGUUUUAUUGAAAUGCUCACAGUUGAGUUAGCAUUAUUUGCUUCUAAUUUGGGCUUCAUUCUCAGUGCUGUAUGUUAACAAACUUGGACCACUCAAUGCCAAGUGAUUUACACAUUUCUCUUUAAUUAAAUUUCUCCAAAGAAUCACGUUACAUAGGCAUUUGUCAAUUCAAAACCCACACUCUCAGAGAUCCUGAGUAAAAUCCAGUACCCCUGCAGUAACCAGUAAAAUUCCCAUUGAUCUCACUGGAGACAGGAUCCUACUCUAUAGAACCUUGUUAUAUACAGGUAAUAAAAAAUUAUCUUGAUACUUAAGUAUGAAGUUCUUAGGUAUACUAUUCUAAGAAACUUAGAUCUUUAUGAGGUCCACACUAUUAUUUACUAUUUCCUUCACUAGAUAAAAAGAAGUGUUACUUCAGAGUUCAAUAAUGUCUGGUUUCAAGUACGUUUGUAAUUACUGGAAUAUGCAACAGAUGCCAGUUUAGAUAAGCUUCUAGCCUGUGGAUGUAGGCAUUUGCUCUAAUCAUCUGCAAUUUUCCUACAGAAUUUGAGCGCAGAAUUGCCUGUACCAAGCUUUAGGAGAAAUGUGGCCCAUUAGCAUUUAGGGGUUCUCUUAAGUGUACAGUGAUAUGUUUGACAAGUUAUAGAUUAUGAGGAUGUGGAUGCGGCAUAAAAAUCAAGCAGAUUUCAAAUAAUCUUUAUGAUCAUUAAAAUGAGGCACAGCACUUUACCUUUAUUUAGUUCUGAGUCAUUUUUCAUCUGUGUGGAACCUGUUGGAAUGGGCUACGUUUAAACUAGUUCUGUCAUUCUUCCUCUUGCAGUUUUUCCUUCCGUAACUCAGCCGCGCGGGGCUGUGGGGUUUGAUGUCCGAGCUCACGUGCAAAAGAAAGAGGUAAAUUAGGGCUGCGGGACAUCGUCAUCUCGCAGCCACAGAAAUGGCCGGGGUUGUCUGAGUGCUGCUCGUCUACUUCAGUGCGAAGUUACUUUCCUAAUUGAUAUAUUUCUUUAGAGUUACUAAGAUGUUACCUAGCUACCAGCUAAUCACAGCCUGGAAACCAUUUAGAGAAAUGUAGAUUUUUAUUUAUGACAAGGUAAGCGACCCUAAAUAACUCAGUCUGGUGACAUGUAAGCUGUCCAGCUGUAAAACAGGAUACAACUCCACGUGAAAUUUAUUUGAAGUGUUCAGACGAAAACUGCGGUAUGAAAUUAAUUAUGAUUAGUCUUGACAACACUAAUUCAAUUUCAAAUAUGCUUAACUGAUUUAAAACUAAAACUUCAGACUCCUUUCAACUACAACCCAGUCCUGAAGAUACUUAAGUCUGCUUUGCCUAUCCCGUGCCCGAUUUUCUGAUUUGGUUGUAAGAUGAUGAUUAAUAGACUAGAAGUGGGGUAAAUUAAAAAAAAAAAACAAACAAACGUGAAAUUACCUAAUUCUGCAAACGCCCAUGUUUGUUUAUUUGCUUGUUUUGUUUUAGAGAAGCCUUGUCAGAAUGUUAGUUUUCUGACAGGGGUUAAUCCUUCCCUUUUGUGACUCUGGCCCAUCCAUCCCUCCCCGCCUCCCCCCGACUCCGGCACGGGGUUGCUAAGCGACGUGUUCUUCUCUUCUGUACUUUAGCAGAGAGGAACAGAUCAAAGACACCCACAGUCCUGAAUUAUUUUAUAAAUGAAUUUAAAGAGACACUCUCCCCUACUGUAUUAUGUGGGGGGAGAUCAAAAGUUGCUCUAUAUACUGAGAGUAUCUGGAGAAUUAAUCUGCUGUCUUCAGGAAAAUAAAAAUGCUCUAAUUACUGAGAACUAUGUAAUACUUACCUCUUUUUUUCUUUUUCAGAACUAGACUAUGAAUUUAUGCUAAUUCCUGUUUCUAGUUUUAUGGCAGUCAAGACAUUGAACACAGGCCAGGCUGCAUGUUUGUACAACUUUCAAAAGUAAGGUUUUCUGUCAUUGAGUGACAAGCUUGCUGAUUUCUUUAACUCUUUUCAUCUCUUGAAAACGAGUUAUCAUUAUUCAAAAAUAUUUCAUGCUCUAAGUUUUGAAUGCUUUCCUCACUUACAUGUAAAAAGAGCAAAUCACAGGGUAAAUGUCAAGUGUUAUCUCUUUAAAAGAAAAAACGAGGAUGAGAAAGUAAUCUGUGUAAAUCAGGCAAAGAAACUAAGACAUCAGUAUCUUAGACCUUUCCAAACAGAAUGAAAACCAAACGUGAAUGAUCUCUAAUACGUAAGUUCAAAUGUUAUCCCUUACCAGAGCAGCACUUAUCUGGCGUCAGCUCGGGUCUGCUGUUGUGAGAUUUGUGAGAGCGCUCUGGCCGUGACGGCGCUUCCUGAAACAGAAAAGGGAGGAAUCAUUUGCCCUCGGGUCUACUCGGUUUCAAACACCAUCGAUGUUGUAAAAGGAGGAAAAAAAACCCAACAGCACUAAGUAACGAAGUGCAAGAAUUUGUCAAGACUUUCAUUUCCAAAGACCCCGUGGCUGCACAGCCUUGAGGAAAUGGAGCGGAACACAAAUAACGAGUAAAGCAUCAAGUGAGACAGAUCAUUUAUCUGCAAAGCAAGACUCGCGGGUCACACGGCUGCCAAAAAGGCGUCUUGAAAACUUUAUGCAAAGUUCUUCUCACGUGCAAAUCUUGUGUUUGGGGUUUUUUUUUGUUUUGUUUUUUAAACCAGCCACCUUAUCUGCAUAAACAAAUGUCUCCUCUAAAGCAAUCCCAGGGCUUGCUCACACCAACAGGUGCUCGGGCUCCUGUGCAGCCAAUCUCGCUCUGUGCGGCGUGCCUGCAGUUCCACAGAACUGAGGGUACAUCACUGAAACCCGAUACACGCUGCACUGGAAAGGGAUUAAUCUCAUAUAAAUCCUCACCAAAAAAAAUCAGGGUUGCUAUUUAUUUACACGCGUUUUACUUUGCAAAGUGAAAACAAGCCACCUUUUUUUCUUGCACCAGCAAAAGUCUCUUCAAAAUUCUAGUUGCUUAGAUUUGCCAUUUAAAACCCACUGGACUGCAGUUAAGCUAUGUUUGAGUAACAACACGUAUUUUAGAAAACAGUUUAGCCAGGUUUUACAUUUCUUUACUAGAUAUACUAGUAUAUAUAGAUAUAUUACUUACACAGGCAAGAUGUGUGCUUAUUCUCGCUGAUCCAGUGUUCGAUGUAUUAUACAUCUUGACCACCACUGUCUUGUCAGUGGUUACCAGAUUUGGUGUGUUUUGGCUGAAUUUGUGAGCGGGAAAACUGUGAUUUGCACUCUAAAUAUUUUUUCUGGAUAAUGGAUUCCUCAACAGACUGUGGGCAUCUUGUACAAAAUACAAGCAAACAUUUGGAAUGGAAUUUAAUACUUCUGGCGAGUGCCAGCUUGCCAGGCUUGGGAACCAAAAUCCCCGUCCCCCUGCGCAGCUGCAGCCAUGGGGAAAGAAAUACUGACCGCUAGGAACAGGCACACGGUUCGUCAUUAUAUGCAUUUCUGGCAAGAUCAUUUAAGAGUCCUGACAACACGCUGUUCAGAGAUUCAGUUUGAUCGAGCUAGUAUUUAAGGUAAAUGGUUCCAAAGUGGGGACGUCCAAGAAUUUCAGUUAAUACUUUUUACUUGUCUAUUUUAUUAAUAUUGUAGAAUUUUGCUUCAUGAUGUAAGUCAUUUUGAAUUGCUGCUCCUCUUAUUUCCAGGAUGCUGCACAAACAUCUGCAGCAGCUGGAUAGCUGGGUUACAGAUGUGCAGAGCAGAGGUUUGGGCCUACGAACAAGGGACGAUGCUUUUGACACACGGGAGGGUGCUGAAGGCUGCUGAGAACGUUAAUGUUACUUCACGUUUCUACAGCACUUUGCCUGAUUAAAGCACCAUGUAGGCUACUAGUAAUUUGUGAUCCGGAUGCUUCUGAAAUGAUCAGCUGUAUCAUUUAAAUGGUCAUUAAAAUACAAUUAGCAGCCCUUUGAACCGAGCGCUGUCGUUCCAAACUGUCUAACUGGUGGCUUGUGGGCCAGAUCUGGACAAUGGGGGGAUUGUGUCUGCUCCUCCUCUUCUCCAAGGGCACCUACCCAAAGAACACCUUGUCCCAGGAGGACAGACGUGGGGAGCCAUUGUGUGUCUGCAAAGGUGACAGCACAAAGUGUCCCUUGUGUCCAGCCCACCGCCUCGACAAGCCAGGAUUCUGCAGAGCUCCUUGCAGUCUGCGCACAGAUUCAAGCAGGUAUGGCCCCACCACUUCAUGCUUUGCAAUUCAAAACAAUUUUAAAAUUAUUAUUAUUUUUUUUCCCCCACUUGACUUUGGGAGCACAGCUUUGUGUGGCGAGAGUUGUAAGGAUGAAAUAAGGGCAGGACGUGGUAAGACAAAUAACUGCGCUGUCUACAUCUACGGAUGAUGCGUUGGUAGACCACGUUGGCAUGUGUUUGGGUAAGAUGAAGAAUUUAGUUACUGUAGCAGACUGCAAGUGAAGGUCUGGCUUGGAUGGUGUUCCCAAACCUCGCAUCCAUAGCCCACACUUAGGUAGCUAAAUCUGUCACUUGCAGGCUUUAGAUACUUGUGUUAAUUGCAUAAAUACAGACAAAAAUGACAUGUUUUUAAAGUGUUAGAAGUGUAAAUAGCUGCUCUUCUGAAAUGGCCUCUAUAUAUUUUUAGAUCCUAUGUACUCUUCCAAUGAUACCACUUGCAAAUGCACCAUAUUUGCUGUAGUAUCUAGCUAGAGUCAUGUAUGAGUAUCGGCCUGUAAUACUAUUGAUUCUUCUGCAUAAAGCGCCGUAGAAUAUACUUUAAAUACUGGCUUUUUGUAUGUCUCACACAACUAUUCAUUAGCACCAAGGGAACAGCAUGCUACUGUUCCAGGUUUUCUAAGAACCAGUGCUAUUGCUCUCCACCAGCUCCUGUUGCUGGCUUCGUAACAACUUUAUUACUUAGGCUUUUACUCUUGAAAAUUCAAAUUUAAACCAAAAAAUGUUAUGCUUUUGUUUUUUAAAAAUAACUAAAGGCGGCGAAUGGACCUGACGUAAUCUGUAUACUGUGUGCCACAGCUAAGUACCCACCGCUGUGAAAGCGCUGCUUGUUCUCUGAAAGGAGGAAUUCUUUCAGCCGGCGUCAUUGCCCCCUCCUCUGCACGGCUGCUUUUCCCAGACACUUGGAGGACUCGCUGACAGUCACUUCCUUGCCCUAAAGGUUUGCUGGAGCAAUAUCAUCGUUGACCCGAUGUUUGUACAGGGCCUAGCUCCUCCUCACAGGUUGGCCCCUACGUACAAUCCAAAGUUUCACGUUUGGGUGUAGUGGUGGCAUUGCUAAAGCACGAAGGCUUUUUAAUCAUCUUUUCUUUAGAUUGGCCCUUGGAUGACAUAUUGCUUCAUCCCAACGUGGGCUUCACAGCAGGCUUUCGGAUAAGUUCUUUUCUCUUCCUCUGCCAUUCACAGAGCGAGCGGAGUGCUUUCAGAUAUAUCCCGACUGCAAAGCAUUUCAAUGUUGGCCUGGCGUGUUUUACUAGUAUUUGAAUGGCCUAAAGAAACUAUUUGGAAAGCAGCAGAUGCCUUCGGAAAAGAGGGAAAUAGAAAAAAAUGGACUCAAAGAGGAUAUUAACGGGUCAACUGACCCAAGAAAAUAGAAAAAAAGUGCAACUCCAAAGUGGUUGCCAACAAGCUGUCUUGUAAUACCCACCCAGGAAGAUAAGGCAGCUCCUCGUGAUCCCGGUUCUGUGGGGCUGUGCCUUCGCUCCCUUGCUCUGCAUUCAUUGUUCUAUACAAGGCACGUAAAUUGUUGCCCAGUUCAUUCAAAUACCCUACACUUCCCAUAUCUGCUUUGUGCAAACACACAGAAUUAAUACUGUCUCAGGAGGAACAAGAGACCACGUACCCGAAAAUGUGAUGUGGGGUUUGUCAUGGCCACAGCUCUGAGAACGGGUGCUCCGGGGGAGCCACUUCCUACUGUUUUGCAUGGGUAGUUAUUAACAAUACUGAAAUAAUUGUCUGUCUGCUGGAUAACGGACAACACACCAAAACACAGGCCAACAACCGUAAUGGGAGGAAGUAUGACAAGGAGCUCACAGCAAAAUGAACAUGCCAAGUGAAAUUCACAGAUAAUACGAAGACACUGAAAAAAGUCUCUUUUUCCAGCACCGGUGUCUCAGCCAUUUAAAUGGGCCACCCUCCUCUUCAUGGGACGCUCUCAGGGACAGUGUGCACAAAACACUCUGAAUGCACAAGAACUCGGGAGAAUUCAGCAAUUUUGGGAACGACUCACAGUUCUUAAAUAACUUGUUGCAAUUAAUGAAGGGCCAGAAAUGUGAGGAAAUCUCUGAAGAAUUAAUCAAGAAUCAACAGCAGUUUCUCUUGAUAGCAAAGGCGGGUGCAUGAAAUAAAACAGCUCACCACAAAUGGCUUUUGACUAAGAGUGAAAAUGCAAUGGGGAAGAACACACUUUGGAUGAAUCUACAUUCCGUUAAGGUAAAUAAAAAAGCAAAUGCCAGUAGGAGGGUGAAAAAAGACACGACUUCUUCCUGCAUGGUCACUGCUGGGCACGUAUUUGUGCGAGGAGAAGCAGCUUCUCGAGUGCCAGAACGGCAUUCCUGUCUUCCAUGGGCAAAGAAGUGGGAUUUACCAUCAACUCUCACAAAACAGAAAAGUCUAUUAGGCCAGCUGGUAAGCAAGAACGAAAAAAUUAAAAAUCAGCAGACUGCACUUUAUUACGCACGUCUUACAGCCUUUGCUAACGGUGCACAGAGUUAAACCAGCUAGAAAAGACGGAGAGCUUGAGAAAGGCACAAAUUCUACAUGGUACUUGGUCAGUGCAAGAAUAGCACUGAAAAGCAAAUGAAGAUGCUGCAAAGUGACCUGUCACCAAUGUUCAGAGCGGCCAGAGGGAAAGCGCAGAAUAUUCUGCUCCCUGGCACCAGCCUCCUGCAGAAGUUCCGCUCUGUGGCAAAGCCGUGGGGGUACGUACACAACCAGCAGAAAAGACGCGACACCCGUGAAAAGAUGCAAGUCGUGUUCAACAGAUAUCGGUGCAACCGGUCUCUUGCAAUUUGAAGCUGUGGUGGCAGUUGAACUUCAGUGGAGGUGAAAUGUUAGAAUGAAGGAAUGCUUGACAGACGAAAGUGUACCUGUCAUCUUUGCUGAGAUAAAGCUUUACAAAAGAAACCGUGAGAGCUGGUAUUACCCUAUGUUGCUGGAGGAAUAAUAUUCCUUCUUGUAAACUAAGAAAAACGAACUGUUGGCAAUACAUCUGUUUAAGCUGACCAAUCACCUGUGGGCUUCUGCAAGCUUAUGUCUUGCAGAAAGCUGAAAAAUGAAGAAGUUCCAGAAAUAGACCGAAACUCCUCUAAGAGCUGAUGCUGAUGCAGAGACUGAUAAGAAUUUAAAUUAUUCAGCUAUGUGUCUCCCAUAGGCACAUUUUUUUUGUCCUAAGAGGAAAAUGUUCCAUCAUAGGUAUCAUAGACAUUUGAAAGAAGUUGUUGUAUGCUAAAGCGAGAUGAUGUUUGUAGAUAUUUUGGAAGGCUUGUAUAUGGUUUAAUUGCACCAACCUAAGACACAAGAAAGGGAUGGUUCAUGUGGUAGCAAGUGCUAUGAUACAAAAGAGGAGCAACACUUCAAUGAAGUACAAAUUUUGUCUCAAUUUUUUUAAGCCUACAUAGUUGUUCUUCAAUUUCUACUGUUUUCACAACUUUUUCAGACUACAUGGCAGGCAUGGGUAUAACUUGGAAACAAACAGACAAACAAAACACACACACAAAACAGGCAAUAAUUUGAUUUACAUACUGAGGAUGAAUGUUAGUCAACCUGCAGAAAUGUCCCAGUACAAUUUUGUUGGUUUUAUAUACAUUGCAUGAAGAUUCUGCAAGCUUCUGUAAGCAAAACUUUCAAGAAGUAGGUGUGCAAGAAACGCACCAUGAGAGAAACCAGGUCAGUUUUGCAGCUGUGUGGUAUUUGCCCCUUCUACAGCCAGCUGCUCCAGAUGACAGGGAAGGGAAGCAGGGCAGCUCAGUCACAGCUAACAGCAGUGUUAACAUUUAUUGAUAUUUAUUUACAUCUUUUUGAAACACACUGUGUUAAGGGCUACGAUGUGAACCAAGUGUUUCCCAUGGAUCUCUGUCUCCGUUACCCCCAGGCAAAGGCACCUAUCCAGGUGACCGCGGACAGCCCAUUCCACAGCCUGUGGCCACAUCCAUCUCACAGUGCAACCCAGUUUUGUUAACAGAGGAACCAAGACUAAAAUGGUAACGUUCACCUCUAUGUUCUUGCCCUGACAUGGUUAUUCAUUAGUUCUUCCUAAUGACUGUUCAGUUCCUUCCUUCUAGGGAACCACUCCUAAUUCUCUUCUCUUCUCUUCAGGUUGGAUAAUGAGUCACUGACUUCAAUAUUUAUCUUUAUUAACCCUUCCCUUACACAACCAAAGUGGUAACAGCGCAAUGUGUUGUGUCACCAUGCUGAGAAAGAAAGAUCUUCAAUGCCUUUUCCUUCAUUGCACCAUUCUCUGACAUGCAGAUAACCCAACGAUUCCUGCAGGAUUUCAGCCACUGGUUGAUGAAGAAAAUACCUUGUUUUGUCUUCAUGCCUUUGGUUAAUUGCUCUUUAAGUCUGCUUUAGUCUACUUCUUUUCCAGUGUAAUUUUGCUUUCCAUAAAUUACACUUUUUUCUGUUGCCUUAUCUGGCCAAAAUUUUAGUUGCAGAAAAACAGCUAUUUGUGUCAAGUAACUUCUUGAAGCACCUUGUUUCCCAUUCUGCUUUUCUUCUCUCUUUUCUUCUGGGGAGGGAAGGUCCUGUUUGUGGGUGGGCCCGUGUCAGUCACCUCUGCUGAGCCCCCAGCUCCGUGGGGCUGGGAGGACGUUCACAGCCAGGCUUCUGGUGGCUGAGGCUUUUGACUAGUUUUCCUACUUAAACAACAACAAACAGCAAACUUAGGAGGUAUUUUAUCUAUAUAUUUUCCAUUCUAUAUAUUUUCCAUUCCUAAGACUAUUGAACCUAAACAUCCUGUGAGACAAUUAAUGACUCAAGUAUUGAAUUCUUUUUGAAUCAGCUAUUCCUCAUGUCUGAAGACUAAUUAGAGAAUGGCCUGUUCUGUUUUUGAUCAACCUUUGUAUUCUGUUUGGUUAGAGCAUUGAAUACACAUGGGCACAUCUCAUCUCCUGCUUUUUAUCCACUUCAUGUAUGGCAGUCCUUGCUCUGUUGACCAAAUUUUGGUGGUUUUAUGAAUUCUGAAGUUCUUUCACCUCGAUCCUCUUUCUUUCUAUGAUCACUGUUGGCCUACUACCACAUUUCGUGUGUCUUUCAAAGUGUUCUACAGUGUUUCAUUAUUUUGAUGUUACCAUUACAUGUGCCUACUUAUAAAGGAGAAUCUAGGAAGUCUAAAGAAAAAGUAGUUUGGAAAGAGAUCUGACUAUUUACUUAGGAAACGACAGUCUCAGAUUAUUACAAAAACAGAUUUCUAGGAAGAAUCAUGCAUUUCUCAUUGAGUAUUUCCACAGCUUUUUCAGUAUUAUUUAUUUCACUGUCCUCACGCUGCACCUGAUGGUCUUGGCUACCAUCAUCCAGCAACCAACCCUCUCCCCAGAAAUAGCUGUUCCCUGGUGGGAAUAGUCACCGUAGGUGCCAAUUCCGCCUGACUGAAAUCUCAUUAACAAUACAUUUUUUUCCUGAUUAAUAAAAUAGUAACAUGAAUA